UACGGGGGGAGCAAGCGUUGUUCGGAUUUACUGGGCGUAAAGGGCGCGUAGGCGGCCAGCACAAUUCAGUUGUGAAAUCUCCGAGCUUAACUCGGAAAGGUCAACUGAUACUGUGCGGCUAGAGUGCGGAAGGGGCAACUGGAAUUCUUGGUGUAGCGGUGAAAUGCGUAGAUAUCAAGAGGAACACCAGCGGCGAAGGCGGCAUCCUGGACUGGUCCUGACACUCAGGAGCGAAAGCGUGGGGAGCGAUCCGG
rnacentral:rRNA from 1 species